GAUGAGCGGAAAGAAAGAACAAGAGGAAUCACUGACCAUUACCUACACUGAAAGGAUCAUCCAGGAUCAUCCAGGAUUACAAUUAAAAAGUUAAAGAACAAGUGUUUGACCUCCUGUGGAAGAAAGAACAAAAGUAAAAGAGGAAAAUCUGAGUGACUGGACCAUCCAGGUUUCCUUAACAUCCAUCUUUAUCAUCAGCAAUAUCAACAAUUCCUGUUCUCACAUGAUCAUCUUGUUUGCUGGUUUUCUGGCAGGGACAUAAAACACUUCUAGGUGGCUGUGUAGCGUCUGUAGAAGUGUUUCUACCGACAUAAUGAAAUUUGCAGUAUUAUAGCACCAUCUACCGCCACGUUUAUGUACUGCAGGUUCAAUGACAUGAAUCCAAUUAGCAUAUUUAACAAAUAUGCAUGUGCUUUAAAAUAAAGAACUGAAUAAGACCAUUUCAAAAGGUUUGUCAGAAACAAAGGAGAAAAAUGUGUUUGAUGACUAGAGAGAGUUUAUCC